GACGAACGCUGGCGGCGUGCCUAAUACAUGCAAGUAGAACGCUGAAGAGAGGAGCUUGCUCUUCUUGGAUGAGUUGCGAACGGGUGAGUAACGCGUAGGUAACCUGCCUGGUAGCGGGGGAUAACUAUUGGAAACGAUAGCUAAUACCGCAUAAAAUGGAUUAUCGCAUGAUAAUCCAUUGAAAGGUGCAAAUGCAUCACUACCAGACGGACCUGCGUUGUAUUAGCUAGUUGGUGGGGUAACGGCUCACCAAGGCGACGAUACAUAGCCGACCUGAGAGGGUGAUCGGCCACACUGGGACUGAGACACGGCCCAGACUCCUACGGGAGGCAGCAGUAGGGAAUCUUCGGCAAUGGACGGAAGUCUGACCGAGCAACGCCGCGUGAGUGAAGAAGGUUUUCGGAUCGUAAAGCUCUGUUGUAAGAGAAGAACGAGUGUGAGAGUGGAAAGUUCACACUGUGACGGUAUCUUACCAGAAAGGGACGGCUAACUACGUG
rnacentral:rRNA from 1 species